AGUGGGGGAGGAGCUGGGCUUUGAAGGCGGGGCUAGGCCCACCCAGGUGUUCUGCACACCUGAAUGGUAGCCACAGGAGAUUAAAGGAUUUCUAAAACAUGCAUAAAAGAAUCAUAGCAACACUCCAGUUGUGUUUGUGAUGAGAGAAUAACAUAACAUGGCGGACAGCUCAAAAAAGCCAAUCUUACCUGACACACAAGCUAACAAAAACUAGAACAUCAUCCCAUUUUUGGCUUACUAUGCAGGACAAUAACAGUUCUGCUGCACAUAUGAACAUUUCUGCCUCAUGUAGCUUAUAUUUUCAGCCUGAGGUCUGAGGACAUGAAAUCUGAGCGAUGCUCACGCAGCCUGUUAGCUGUCAUGGGAAAGUUAUGGACUCUGCGACAUGGAAUGCGACAUAAAGUACAAACGCCAGCAGCCGGGUCUGACUCACAGCGUUUGCAGCUUUGGAGCUGAGAAUGAUGCAGUGGAGGCUUAAAAGAUGAAGUUCUGUGUGAAUCACAGCGUGACAUUUCUGGGUUUGCUUCAACAGAUUCUAUUUUGCUUCUUAGAAAUGUAUCAAAGCCAUGAGCUAACUACUGUUUUUAAUCCAAUGCUUUUUUUUUCCUGCCACAUCACCAGAGAGAAUUUGGAGGAAACCAAUUGCCUGAGAAAAGUAAUUAUGUUCUCCAUUUCUAGGACGUUAUGAUGUGAGGGAGCCGCUUACCUCCUCUCUAGACUAACUGUUGGCUUUCGCCACUCCAGAAAUGCACCCGUCUACUGAAAGAAGGAGAACGAAUCCACACCUAAGUUAUUCAGCAACACAAUGAUCAUAGCGACACCAGCAAGAUCGGAAUUGCUCAAAAAAUGAGAAGAUUUUGGAGUGGCCUUGUCAAAGUCCAGACUGCAAUUUGAUUGAAAUGCGGAGACAUGACAUUGUCAAUGCUGAAAGCCGAUGAUUUGAAACAAUUUUGUAAAUAAGAGCGGGCCAAAACUUCUUCAGAGUGAUGAGUAGGAAUAAUUGCCAGUCAGCACAAACACUUGAUGGUAGCUGUUGUUGCCAGGAAGGUCAGAAUCAGUUACUGGGUUAGUGGGGCAACUGCUUUUUCUGAAGUCCUUCCAAUGGCUCUCUGUAGCUCGGAAAAAAGACUUGGUGUUAUUUAUAAAUCACUCAAUAGUUUAGCAACAAAAUACGUUAAAGAUAUAUUGUUGUUGAAACAGCCUUCCAGACCUCUCAGGUUUUCUCUGGUCUGCACUGCAUCCCCAAAACCAAACAUGGAGAAGCAGCAUUAUGUUUUUAUAAAAACUCAUUGAUUUUCAGUUUUCUGCUGAAACUCAAGUGUUUCAGCAGAAAACUGGUGAACCACUGAGUUUCCUUAAAUCAGAGGUAGAAAUUCAUUUGUUUAGAGCUGCCUUUGACUAAAAACAUAGAUCUAGUCUGGAUUACAACUUUUUAUUACUUAAGCAUAAUGUUUUGGUGCCUUUUGUGUUUAUUAUGUAAAACAGUUUGAAUUACCUUUGUUCUGAACUAUGUUAUACAAAGCUUGGCUAGCUCAGGGUUGUCCUAGCUUGUUCUUUAGCUAGAAAACUGUUAGGUAAAUAAAUCUCUUGUCUUUCUUGUGUUUGUUAAAUCUGUCUCAAUAGGUGUUUAAACCUGACAAAAACCCACUUCUGUUCAUGUUGAAAAACACGACCAGACAUCAAUGUGUGCUUUCAUUUGACAUAACUGAUUAUUUAAUAGAAUUUAAUAUAAUAAAUAACUUUAUAUGACGAAGCCAGGACAAAAAACUAGCUGUAAUUAAUGUUUGCUGAUGUAUUUCGAUUUGAGAUCCCACAAAUGUUGCUGAAUAAACCACCACAUACUAUCUCUGGAGGCCAAACUACCACAAAUUUGCAUUCAUACCAUAAAAGUUAAAUAUUUCCAGAUCAGUUUAGGAACCUGGGAAAGUCUUCCCGACUCUUCCCGCCGUAUUAUCUGCACAUUUUAUCCUAAUGUCCCUUUUAGAGGAGCUAAAGUGCAGGUGGCUCUCGGGGUGUGCACGUGCACGUGUCUCUGCAGCUCGCGCUCCCCCGGUUUUAACGACUCUGUUUACAGACGAGCCUGUCAGUCUGGACCGAAUCUCCUCUAUAUCAUCCGACAUGAACGCUGGAAACUGACCUUAGAGGACAGAAUAGACCUUCGCAUCCUUAUGUCAGCAUCAUUAACGAGACUAAACCAUGGUACUGGUCUACGCCAGUGUCUGGUGUUUAGGACAGAGAACACGGGCUGUGAGGAUGGAUGGAGGGCUGCACUCACUCACUGCUGGAUGGUGCCUCUCGGUUGGCCGUAUGUCCUAACAUCAACGCCCUGGAUCAGCGGCGCGGCGUUCCCUCUCCUCUACCCGCGGCUGAAUCCGGUCAAACUUCCGUCUGUGUCACGCACUCUUCCAGCCUGCUUGUUUUCGCUUCUAUCUGGGGAUUUUUUCCCCCCCCUGCUUCUUCUCACCGCAAACACAUAUAUAAAUAAAUUUACCCAUCUCCCCAA